UGCUAGUGUUGCCUCUGAAUACAUUCUCCA
rnacentral:piRNA from 1 species